CAAUGGCUUCUAUAAUCAUCAGACCUCAGGUGGUGAUUGGUUUCCUCAUCCUGUCAGUGAGCUUCACAGGUGCUGAUGGUCAAACACUGACAGAGUCUGAAUCAGUGGUAAAAAGGCCUGGAGAAUCCCACAGACUGACCUGCACAUAUUCAGGUUUCAGUGGCCAUUGGUGGAACGCUUGGAUCAGACAACCAGCUGGAAAAGGACUGGAGUGGAUUGCUCGUAUCAGUGAUACCAGCAGCAGCAUCUACUACUCUAACUCAGUGAAAAACCGGUUCACCAUCUCCAGAGAGAACAGCAGAAAUCAGGUGUAUCUGCAGAUGAACAGCCUGACAGCUGAGGAUUCUGCUGUUUAUUAUUGUGCUCGAGAGCCACAGUGACACAGGAAGCAGAAACACUGUACAAAAACUACUCAGUGCAUGACAUGAAGCCACCACUGGAGGAA